rnacentral:rRNA from 2 species
UAAAACCAGCACCUCAAGUGGUCAGGAUGAUUAUUGGGCCUAAAGCAUCCGUAGCCUGUUCUAUAAGUCUCCGGUUAAAUCCAUCAACUCAAGUGAUGGGCUGUCGGAGAUACUGUAGAACUAGGGAGUGGGAGAGGUAGACGGUACUCGGUAGGAAGGGGUAAAAUCCUUUGAUCUAUUGAUGACCACCUGUGGCGAAGGCGGUCUACCAGAACACGUUCGACGGUGAGGGGUGAAAGCUGGGGGAGCAAACCGGAUUAGAUACCCGGGUAGUCCCAGCUGUAAACGAUGCAGACUCGGUGAUGCGUUGGUAUGUUACUAGCGCAGUGCCGCAGGGAAGCCGUUAAGUUUGCCGCCUGGGAAGUACGUACGCAAGUAUG